AGCUAAUAGAUACCCGGGUAGUCCACGCCGUAAACGAUGAGUGCUAAGUGUUAGAGGGUUUCCGCCCUUUAGUGCUGCAGCUAAACGCAUUAAGCACUCCGCCUGGGGAGUACGGUCGCAAGACUGAAACUCAAAGGAAUUGACGGGGGCCCGCACAAGCGGUGGAGCAUGUGGUUUAAUUCGAAGCAACGCGAAGAACCUUACCAGGUCUUGACAUCCUCUGACAACUCUAGAGAUAGAGCGUUCCCCUUCGGGGGACAGAGUGACAGGUGGUGCAUGGUUGUCGUCAGCUCGUGUCGUGAGAUGUUGGGUUAAGUCCCGCAACGAGCGCAACCCUUGAUCUUAGUUGCCAGCAUUUAGUUGGGCACUCUAAGGUGACUGCCGGUGACAAACCGGAGGAAGGUGGGGAUGACGUCAAAUCAUCAUGCCCCUUAUGACCUGGGCUACACACGUGCUACAAUGGAUGGUACAAAGGGCUGCAAGACCGCGAGGUCAAGCCAAUCCCAUAAAACCAUUCUCAGUUCGGA
rnacentral:rRNA from 1 species